CCUGCCUCUAGAGGCAUUGCAGGUGUGGCUGCUGUGUCACACGUGUGUCAGUAGGUAUCAGAGAGGAGAGAGGCAAUGUCUAUGCUCACUGUUUUGAUGAACAGCAAAAAAAAAGUGAGCUGAGAUA